rnacentral:ncRNA from 1 species
GAAUUCGAGAGAGAGCACAGAUCAAUGUGCCGCCGAAGGUGAAAAGCGAAAGCUCAAACUCUCAGGCAAAAGGAUUGGA